CGGUCCAGACUCCUACGGGAGGCAGCAGUAGGGAAUCUUCCGCAAUGGGCGAAAGCCUGACGGAGCAACGCCGCGUGAGUGAUGAAGGUCUUCGGAUCGUAAAACUCUGUUAUUAGGGAAGAACAAAUGUGUAAGUAACUGUGCACAUCUUGACGGUACCUAAUCAGAAAGCCACGGCUAA
rnacentral:rRNA from 1 species